rnacentral:rRNA from 1 species
CUGAGACACGGCCCAGACUCCUACGGGAGGCAGCAGUGGGGAAUAUUGCACAAUGGGCGGAAGCCUGAUGCAGCGACGCCGCGUGAGGGAUGACGGCCUUCGGGUUGUAAACCUCUUUCGACAGGGACGAAGCGCAAGUGACGGUACCUGUAGAAGAAGCACCGGCCAACUACGUGCCAGCAGCCGCGGUAAUACGUAGGGUGCGAGCGUUGUCCGGAAUUACUGGGCGUAAAGAGCUUGUAGGCGGUUCGUCGCGUCGAUCGUGAAAACUUGCAGCUCAACUGCGAGCUUGCGGUCGAUACGGGCGGACUAGAGUACUGCAGGGGAGACUGGAAUUCCUGGUGUAGCGGUGAAAUGCGCAGAUAUCAGGAGGAACACCGGUGGCGAAGGCGGGUCUCUGGGCAGUAACUGACGCUGAGAAGCGAAAGCGUGGGUAGCGAACAGGAUUAGAUACCCUGGUAGUCCACGCCGUAAACGGUGGGCGCUAGGUGUGGGUUUCCUUCCACGGGAUCCGUGCCGUAGCUAACGCAUUAAGCGCCCCGCCUGGGGAGUACGGCCGCAAGGCUAAAACUCAAAGGAAUUGACGGGGGCCCGCACAAGCGGCGGAGCAUGUGGAUUAAUUCGAUGCAACGCGAAGAACCUUACCUGGGUUUGACAUACACCAGAAAGCUGCAGAGAUGUAGCCCCCCUUGUGGUUGGUGUACAGGUGGUGCAUGGCUGUCGUCAGCUCGUGUCGUGAGAUGUUGGGUUAAGUCCCGCAACGAGCGCAACCCUUGUCCUAUGUUGCCAGCGCGUUAUGGCGGGGACUCGCAGGAGACUGCCGGGGUCAACUCGGAGGAAGGUGGGGACGACGUCAAGUCAUCAUGCCCCUUAUGUCCAGGGCUUCACACAUGCUACAAUGGCCGGUACAGAGGGCUGCGAUACCGUGAGGUGGAGCGAAUCCCUUAAAGCCGGUCUCAGUUCGGAUCGGGGUCUGCAACUCGACCCCGUGAAGUUGGAGUCGCUAGUAAUCGCAGAUCAGCAACGCUGCGGUGAAUACGUUCCCGGGCCUUGUACACACCGCCCGUCACGUCAUGAAAGUCGGUAACACC